AGGAUCAACGCUGGCGGCGUGCAUGAGACAUGCAAGUCGAACGGACGAACGAAGCUUGCUUUGUUCGUUAGUGGCGGACGGCUGAGUAACGCGUGGGUGACCUGCCCCGAAGUGGGGAAUAACUGCCCGAAAGGGUGGCUAAUACCGCAUGUGGUGGUGCGUUCAAUCGCACCAGUAAAGCCGCAAGGCGCUUCGGGAGGGGCCUGCGUCCGAUUAGCUCGUUGGUGGGGUAACGGCUCACCAAGGCGACGAUCGGUAGGUGGUCUGAGAGGACGAUCACCCAGACUGGGACUGAGACACGGCCCAGACUCCUACGGGAGGCAGCAGUCGGGAAUUUUGCGCAAUGGACGAAAGUCUGACGCAGCAACGCCGCGUGAGGAUGAAGGCCUUCGGGUUGUAAACCUCUUUUCUCAGGGACGAUAAUGACGGUACCUGAGGAAUAAGCCACGGCUAACUACGUGCCAGCAGCCGC
rnacentral:rRNA from 1 species